rnacentral:rRNA from 1 species
AUUGAACGCUGGCGGCAUGCUUUACACAUGCAAGUCGAACGGUAACAGGCCUCCGGGUGCUGACGAGUGGCGAACGGGUGAGUAAUGCAUCGGAACGUGCCCAGAGGUGGGGGAUAACGCAGCGAAAGCUGUGCUAAUACCGCAUGUGAUCUGAGGAUGAAAGCGGGGGACCAGGCAGCAAUGUUUGGCCUCGCGCCUUUGGAGCGGCCGAUGUCAGAUUAGGUAGUUGGUGGGGUAAAGGCCUACCAAGCCGACGAUCUGUAGCUGGUCUGAGAGGACGACCAGCCACACUGGGACUGAGACACGGCCCAGACUCCUACGGGAGGCAGCAGUGGGGAAUUUUGGACAAUGGGCGCAAGCCUGAUCCAGCAAUGCCGCGUGCGGGAAGAAGGCCUUCGGGUUGUAAACCGCUUUUGUACGGAACGAAAAGGCUCUGGCUAAUACCUGGGGCUGAUGACGGUACCGUAAGAAUAAGCACCGGCUAACUACGUG